UGAUUAGCCAAAUGAAGUGAACAUGCAGAUAACCUUUUGUAGGAAGGGUCCUUUUAUGUGUCUAUGGCAGACCAGACCUUUUUUCAUCUUGGAGGCACUGGGAAGAGGAAGUGCAGAUGAGGGUUGUCACAUGCUGGUCCAAACCUCCAGUGGCUGGCAGGGAAGAAAUUAGUCAGCCCCUUAGCACCAGCUGGAGGAAGUUCUGUGCUGCAGGGUCUUCAGACUGGUGUUCACCCUUUCCAAGCCAUGGUACCAGAAUUACUCAUCCUGGGCUGUUUUCUGGGCAUUAGUGAACUCCCAUGGAAGGAUUUUUCCUGUAGCCUGGUGUUGACAACCCACUCCUGCUCUUCUUCUACCUGAAAAAGAACUGAGAAGUUUUCAGAAGCUGUUUAAGUUUUGUGUAUUCCAAGGAGUCUAGGCAUGAAAUGCUAGUGCACAUGGUCUUUCCAUGAAGAUCUUGCCUUUCCUGCAGGAACAGCAGCUUGGCAGCAGGGCUGGGAGCAUGUCACUGCUGGGACCUGGCCACAGCUGGCAGUCGCUGCUGCCUCUGCAUGCAUCUUCUUGCUCUUGGUGAGUCCCUUCUGUGGGUGCUGGAGUGAGGCAGCUGCUAUGCCCAGAGCCACUGAUGCCCCUAUGGUGGCUGAGCCCUGCUGCACCCAGUCCUUAAGGCUCUGGGAGCAGGGUGUUCCUGGCCACUCCCACAUUGCCAGCAGUACAGCACCAACAGUGCUGUGCUUGUGGUCCCCAAGGGCACUGACAUGGGAAGACCAUGAGGAGGGCUGUGCUUGAAGGCAGAUCUAGCUGCAUCCUGCCUGGCCCCCAAUUAGCAGAGCAUGUAUGAGGACAAUAGUCCAGCCACAGAGACAACUCAGGGAUGUCUGAGCAUCAGCAUUUCUGUGCCAUGCUGUGUGGGGCACUCAGGAAAUGCUGGGAGAACCAGGGCCUGCUAGAAAGAUGCUGCAGGGCUCUUUCUGACAGGACAUGUCUUCAGAAGUGAACAUGGUGCCACAGGGCUUGCUGUCAAGCUUAUUGGGUGCUGACUGCAGGCCACAAAGCCACCCACAGCUAGUCUGUCCCAGUUUAUCACAGUCCUGUUUUCUGCUGUUCUUGGCAGAGGAAUCUGGUGUUGUCUCCUUGCCUUUUUCCACAAGGCAUGAACCCCACACUGUGCCUUGCAGCUGCACUGACUAGCUUGUCAUCUUCCAGUAACUGCUUGUUUUUCCCCAGUGGAAGAGAAAGUGUUUUGGUAAUCCCAACGAAUGAAGGAGCUUUCUUAAUUAAAGUAAUAAUCUGAAAGUUGUCAUUGAUAAGAGUGUAAACAAGCUGAUUGCAGUGGGCGCCUGAAUAGCUCUAAUGAGCACGUGUGGGUAUUAAAUUAACCAUGGUUCACAAGCCAUGCAUGGCUGUACAGUUAUUUAGAAAUAACCAAUUUUCCCUGGUGCUCAACCCUGCCUACCACCCCAAAAACCUUGUCUUACUAUAGUAUUGCACAACAGAAAGGAAUCUGCUUCUCUCGCAAGUCUCUUGGGCUUUACAGUAAAUUAUUGCUUUUAAGGGAGAAGGUAAGGCAGCCUGUGCUAUUGGCAUUUUUCCCUUAGAUGAAGUGCUACCCAGUGGGUGGAGCAUGGGUGUUCAGCAUCAACCUGUCCUUGCUAGUGGGUUGUCCCAGGGUCCUCAGAGGUGGCAUUUCACUGCUGGACGUGGUGGAGAGCCCUGUCUGUGAAAUGGGAGAACAAUGGCUCUUGCAAGGCUCUCGUGCUGUUAACGAGCUCCUUGGAGGAACAGCCCUACAGAAGUGCAAAUGAUCUUUCUUUCUUUCUGUUAAUUAUUGAUAUAUUUAUUCAUUGCAGUAAGCAGAGUGGAAACAGUGGGGUUAUGGUAGACUCAGCUGAUCUGUGAGUGGAAGUACAGUGGGUUCUUGUGGUGGUCACAAGGAGCUUCUGGACCUGCAGCUCUCAUCUGUUUAUGCUGGUGGGCAUCUGAACAAGUCUUGCAUCUCCAGGUCCAGGAACAUCUCCAUAAUUUGAUUGAAAUAGUCUUGUGUGUGUACCAUCCAUCUUUCGGAAUGGAAACAAAAUGUUAAACUUAUUCUGACUGGCUUUCCUGGGUGAUCCUGUAUACAGCUUAAAAUGGUGAAGGAGGAUACAACUGCAGGGUGCAGUUUGGCUUCCAGAGAUUAAAGUACAGCAUUUUCCUUGAUCCAGAGGAAUUCAUUUUGUGUGCUGCUAUAUACUGGAGGCAGUUCGACCUGAUCUCCCAUUUUAAUACCAACUUGUUCUCCUUUGCUGUCCUUUCAAAUUAUCAUAUUAUGACAUGGAAAAUCAGCCUCCUGCUAACUACUGUUUCACUACAAAUAGCCUCCUUUCUUUUGAGUGCUGAGAUUUGGCAGAGAAUUAAGGUGGAAGAGAGAUGCCGAAUUUGUGACAUUACCAAAGACAACUAUAGGUCUUUGUUUUGUGAUGCAAGUCAGUUUAAACAAAAAUGAAAUAUCCUACUCAUUGUGUGUCCCCUGUCCCCAGCUUGUGACCACUACAUGUGCUUUUUUCCUGUUGGGAUAACAAGUACUGGCUUUAGGAAACUGCUACAGCUUGCUGUGUGUAUAUCGCUCUACAUCUUCCAUUCAUAUAUCUACUAUGUUAUUAUCACAGGUGUUAGACUCUUCUGGGUCUGCACAGUCAUCAGACAAAUGAAUAACCAGUGUAACCUUGGCUUUAAAGAUCUUUGUGUUUACCAAGUUGUCAUCUUUUUAUCUGCAAAAAGUAAGGGAGGAGGUUUCUGAGGAGGCUGUUUCCUUCCACUUUCUGUAACUGGCACUGUCUGAUGUGGUGUGUGUUUUCAUAUCUCAUGCACAUCCCCUUUCACCUGUCAGUUGGGAUCAUAUAUCCAUGCCCUGGUGAGUGAGCUGUGGGGUGGCAGUCACUGUGCUCUGGGACAGUCUUACUUCUAGCUCAGGCAUCUUGGAAACAGAUCUACAGCACCUUGCUCUGCUGGGCCUUCUCUCUCUUUUUUUUCUUUUAAGUUCUUGGAGGCACAAGAACUGUCUUCAGGCCCACACAGGAUCAGAUGUUUUUUUUUUUUUUUUUUUUUUUUUUUUUUUUUGUGAGGUCAGCAGUGUGAAGAUAGAUAUGAAACUCUGCACUUGUCUGCCUUGACAAAGACAGCUCCAUGAAAAAGUGUUGUACUCCCUAGAAGUAGGAGAUGUGAAGAAUGGGAAAAGAAAAGGGAUUUGUCCAAUCUUUUCUAGUAAAUCAUUGGAAGAGUUGCAUAAGUCUUCAUCCCUGAGCCCUUGCAUUUUCUGUUCAGUACUGUUAAGUGAAGUAGCUGGAAUGUGUGAAGAAAGAAGCUUGACCCCAUGUCAGAGCUGAUACAGGCCACAAGUAUCCCUGUUCUUUCUCUGACAGAUUUAAUGGUUCCUGAUCCCCUGGGCUGGCUGCUUGCCUAAGCAGCUCUGUGGUGCUACAGUGUGGGCCCUGCUCUUCCUGAGAGGCCUGGUGCUAAAUAAUUCUGUCUUGAAAGGAAAAAACGAAACUGGUAGGGAUGUUUGAGCAGAGAUGUGUGCCGUGCACACAUUUGAGUUCACAUUGGAAGUCCCAGUUGGAAUUUCUACACCUGUGUGUGAUCUGUCUGGAUAACUUCCCUUUCCUAACAAAGGAAAGGCAACAUUGCCCUGCUGCUGUGAAGCACUCUCCUGGCAGCCCCAUGCCUGUUCAAUUUGCACAAGUCCAAACUAGCUGUAGGAAGAGAGGUGUGUGCUAAGCUUGCUGCUCACAGCCCUGUGCUGAAGGCAAGGUCUGGAUCUCCAGGAACUGUGGGGAACUACAACCUUUGGGUGUAUUUCUUCUGUGACACAGAGCAAGGCUUACUGAAGAUUCAGAGUUUCAGGGUUUAGCAGGAGUUGCCAUUUCACACUGCCAACCAACAGUCUGCAUAUAUGCAAUAUAAUUAACACCAGAAAUUCUGACUCCUGAGGCUAUAGGGUUAAACAAAUGUGUCCCCAUUAAACUUGAAUAAUAUGAGGUUAACUCAUUAGGAAAAGAACACUCUUGAUGUGCUUAAUGGAGGAAGAGAACGUUAACUCUUACAGUUCCUUGCCAACAUACACAUUAGUUUAACUUUCCUUUGAAAGUUGUUUUUUUUUUUUUUUUUUUUUUUUCUAUAGAAUACUUUACAAAAUCCCCCAAGUGAUCUCCUGUGUGUUUUGUAUGAAUCAUCUUUGAUUUCCUGAUUAUUGGUCUGCUUGUCUCCUUUGGAGUCUU